GACGAACGCUGGCGGCGUGCUUAACACAUGCAAGUCGAACGGAGAGGCUCCACCUUUGUGGGGUGCUUGAGUGGCGAACGGGUGAGUAACACGUGAGUAACCUGCCCUAGACUCUGGGAUAACCUCUGGAAACUGCGGCUAAUACUGGAUACGAAAUUCUCCCGCAUGGUCGGGGUUUGGAAGUUUUGUCGGUUUGGGAUGGGCUCGCGGCCUAUCAGCUUGUUGGUGGGGUAGUGGCUUACCAAGGCGACGACGGGUAGCCGGCCUGAGAGGGUGACCGGCCACACUGGGACUGAGACACGGCCCAGACUCCUACGGGAGGCAGCAGUGGGGAAUAUUGCACAAUGGGCGGAAGCCUGAUGCAGCAACGCCGCGUGCGGGAUGACGGCCUUCGGGUUGUAAACCGCUUUCGGCGGGGAAGAAGCGAGAGUGACGGUAACUGGAAAAGAAGCACCGGCUAACUACGUG
rnacentral:rRNA from 1 species